CAGUCGCCGCGGUAAUACAGAGGGUGCGAGCGUUAAUCGGAUUUACUGGGCGUAAAGCGUGUGUAGGUUGUUGUUCAAGUCAGUUGUGAAAUCCCUGGGCUCAACCUGGGAACUGCUUCUGAGACUGAACGACUAGAGUACGGUAGAGGGUGGUGGAAUUUCCGGUGUAGCGGUGAAAUGCGUAGAUAUCGGAAGGAACAUCAAUGGCGAAGGCAGCCACCUGGGCCUGUACUGACACUGAGACACGAAAGCGUGGGGAUCAAACAGGAUUAGAUACCCCGGUAGUCCCUGUCUCUUAUAC
rnacentral:rRNA from 1 species